CUGCUUUGUCUUAUUUCUGGAGAGUCUGCCCCUGAACUUCCUGGUGUCAGCCUCUUCCAGACAAUUCAGAUCUUGGAGCAAAUGCCACCUCCUCAGAAGGCUUUUGUGACAGUUCUCAUUUCAUCUCCAUCCUGUUAUUUCUUAAUAGCACUCAUCUCUAUCUGAUAGUACCCUUUUUGGUUUUUGGUUUUGUUUUCUUUCUUUGUUCUGUUUUCUUUGCCCCCACUAGAAUGUAAAUUCCAUGAGAGCAGGGAUUUAGUUCUGUAUUCUCGUCUAUCCUCACCUUCAGUAGUAUUUGGCAUCUUGCUGGCACUCAAGGAAGAUUCAGUCCAUGAAAGAAUGGCUCUGUCCAUUACAGCAUCUCAGUGAGUAAGGAAUGUUUAUUGGUUUUUACAGAUGAGGAAUGUCCCCCACCAGGAAUCCAACCCAUGCCCUCUGCAGUGGAAUCUUAACCACUGGGCCACCAGGGAAGUCAGGCAUUUUAAAAGCCUCUGGCAUUUUCCACUAAAAGGCUCCCCUGAUGGAUAACACAGAAGACUGCCAGAGGAGUGAUUUAUGCCCACUGUUAAACCCAGGACCUUCUCACCCACCUCCUUAGGCAAAACGCCUUUAUCUGCACUGCUUAGAACACCCUGGGGACACAUGAAGGGGAAAAUUGAGUGCUGUCUCUUUGUCUAUAACCUAAUUUAAAAUUAGUGCGUGCUCUAGUUGUAAAUCUUAGAUUAAGCUGUUCUUAGCUCAUUAUAUUUUUGCCAUUUCAUUUUAUGUGAUAAUAAUAGUAUCAGCAUUAAGCAGAAUUUAUAGUUUUCAAAGUGCUCUCUUGUGCGUAAGUGUAUUUGAUGCUCAGUAAAAUGCUAUUAGAGAGAAAAGGAAGGGUCACCAGUCCUAUUUGAGUAAAGAGAACCUGUGCCACAGAGGCUAAAGGGCUCUCCAAGGUCAAAUAUCAAUUUCUACCAUGAAGCAACCUUGUGCAAGGAUUGUGUCUACUUGUAAAAAUAUAUUAUUAAGUAUUUCAAAGGAAUGUAAAACAGAAAAUGUAAAAGCCACAUUAUCUAUCUCCCAGCUGUUUACAUAUUUCCUUCAGAUUCCUUUUAAAAAGUAGAUAAAUGGAUACAGAUAACAGUUUUUAACCACCUCAUUUCCUCUCUCCCUUGCUAGAGGUGAUUGCUGUCUUAAAGUUUCUCUCUGUCCAUCCUUCUGUCCUUGUUAUUAAGCAUUUGCUACUCUGUAGACUC
rnacentral:lncRNA from 1 species